UAAUGCAAAUAAAUCCCACUUUAGAUCUUACAGCUAACUGUGUGCCUUAGAAACCAGAUACCUUGCUCAAGUGGCCUAUCAGCCAGUCCAGUGUCUUGAAGAGCCAUCACUCCAAGUCUUAUGUGAAUUUUAGUGGCAAAGAGAUCAGAUUAUUUUAAGAUUACACAACUCUCGUGCAAAGGCUCAGUCUUAUAGAGCUUCAUUUUUUCCCCCACUGUCUCAUUAUUUUUGCUUACCACAGAAACAUAAUGUAUUUGGGGGCUUAUUUAAAACCAUAUCUAAAUACAGCAUAAAGACAUAUAAUAACAUGAAAGAAUGCUUCCCUGAGUUGAAUGCAAAGGACAGAUUGGGAACCCAUUUAACAUCGUCUACAGGUAGAUUUUUGGUGACCUGAGUAAAAAGAUUAUUUUGAGAGAAAGUAUGUAACCAAA
rnacentral:sRNA from 1 species